UUACUACUCCCUCCGUUCGGAAUUACUUGUCACGGAAAUGGAUGUAUCUAGACGUAUUUUAGUUCUAGAUACAUCCAUUUUCGAGACAAGUAAUUCCGAACGGAGGGAGUACUCC
rnacentral:pre_miRNA from 1 species